UACAGAGGUGGCAAGCGUUGUUCGGAAUUACUGGGCGUAAAGGGCGCGUAGGCGGCCAUCUAAGUCAGACGUGAAAUCCCCCGGCUUAACCUGGGAACUGCGUCUGAUACUGGACGGCUUGAGUAUGGGAGAGGGAUGUAGAGUUCCAGGUGUAGCGGUGAAAUGCGUAGAUAUCUGGUGGAAUACCGGUGGCGAAGGCGGCAUCCUGGACCAUUACUGACGCUGAGGCGCGAAAGCUAGGGGAGCAAACGGG
rnacentral:rRNA from 1 species